rnacentral:rRNA from 1 species
UACGAAGGGGGCUAGCGUUGCUCGGAAUUACUGGGCGUAAAGCGCACGUAGGCGGAUUGUUAAGUCGGGGGUGAAAUCCUGGAGCUCAACUCCAGAACUGCCUUUGAUACUGAGGAUCUUGAGUUCGGGAGAGGUGAGUGGAACUGCGAGUGUAGAGGUGAAAUUCGUAGAUAUUGGGGAAGAACACCAGUGGCGAAGGCGGCUCACUGGCCCGUAACUGACGCUGAGGCACGAAAGCGUGGGGAGCAAACAGG